rnacentral:rRNA from 1 species
GACGACGCUGGCGGCGUGCCUAAUACAUGCAAGUAGGACGAGUUGCGAACGGGUGAGUCACGCGUGGUAACCUGCCUAUUAGAGGGGGAUAACAAUUGGAAACGAUAGCUCAUACCGCAUACCAUCGGUUGUGCCCAGAUGGGAUUAGCUAGUAGGUGGGGUAAAGGCGCACCAUGGCGACGAUCCCUAGCUGGUCUGAGAGGAGGACCAGCCACACUGGAACUGAGAAACGGUCCAGAUUCCUACGGGAGGCAGCAGGGGGGAAUAUGGCACAAUGGGCGCAAGCCUGAUGCAGCCAUGCCGCGUGUAUGAAGAAGGCCUUCGGGUUGUAAAGUACUUUCAGCGGGGAGGCGUUACCCGCAGAAGAAGCACCGGCUAACUACGUGCCAGCAGCCGCGGUAAUAC